rnacentral:lncRNA from 1 species
GGGUUGAUUCCUGAAGCACCCAAGUCAAUAGCUGUGACAUUAUGCCCUGAAGAUCUCAUCAAUGCCACAAUCUUGUACCAGGACCAGGCUCCAUGGCAUGGUCUAUGAACUAGCACAAAGUGCUUCUUAGCUUUAGGGAUUGACAAGGUUGCAUUUGCAUAUGGCAACAAAAGUAUUACAACUACUAGACUUGUUAAAAACUUGCUUUUCUCCAUAUAUUUUUUUCCUUCUUUAGAACAAUAGCCACAUAAUAUGAACCAUUACAAGGGUAGCUUUAUAAUCCGAGGAGUUUGGUAUCUGCUGACUUACUUCCAUGCACAAGCAAUCCCACUUUGGCAAUUGUUUGAGUAAAUGGGCAAGCAAUGUAGUAAGGGGCUGGUGGAGAUUGUGGCCUCUCUAUUAGUAGUCAUUCCUGGUCUAUGAAUCCACAUCAAUUCAUCUAAGAGUUGGGCUGAUUUUGACCAACUAUGUAAUCCAUAGACCAUGGAAGUAGUGAGAUCGCCAUAUAAAUGCAUAAGAUAUGUGAAUUGACUCAAUUCUAUUCUCAGCCUUACACAUGUACACCUUAUUCUUCUUAUUAACAGCUGUUAUUUGAGUCAUUUGAUUUUUAACUUACUUCCACGCAGAAGCAACCUCAAGUUGGCUACUCUUUCAACAAGUGGUCAAGCAAUGUAGUAAGGGCUGGUGCAACUUGCAAGCCUGGGGAUUUCUGCCAUGAUUGAAAUGUCAAAUUAAAAGUUGGAAUAACAUUUCAGUGUCACUUUAAUCCGUCGUUCACAAGACCAGAGGACAUCUUGAACAGAUUUUUCAUGAAUCAUUGCAUUCAUUAGAUUACUAUCUUACAUCACCUAAAUAUAUUAGAAUUUUAUAAACAACUCCAAAUCGAAACAUUUGAACACGUUAUGUAUUAUAUAUAUGGUGGUCUAAAUGACAGUUACCGAAGUGAAACAGUGUUCACUACAAAAAAAAAAAGAAGGUGAAUUAAUGGAGGUUUAAUUGUGGGAAUUGUCAUUGUUGACACCCAAUUUUGGACCUCCACAAUAUAAAUUAAUCAUCGAGCUUCUUCAAUUUCGAACGAUUUGAAAUAAUUAGUUCUAGAAAAUUUCAAAAAUAAAUAAUAAUAAUAAUAAUAAUAAUAGCUUACAGGUUAUUUUAAAUAUUUUGUCACUUUUGGAAUUUUUAAAUAUUAAAUAUAUCUUUAGAUAAUUUUGUUUAUGGUCAGUAUAUUUUAUAAAUAUUCAAAAAUUGUCUCAAAAUGUUUUGUUUUUAUUAAAUAUUUGGUUAAUUAGUUUAAUUAUUCAAUAGUUUAUAUUUUCGAGUUAUUAGUCUAUAUUUGAGUCAAUUAUUUUAAGUUUGUUAAAAUUAAGAAGCUCGUUAAUUAAUUUUUAAUAAUUCAUCCUAUUUAAGAUUUUAGCCGAAGUCGCAAAUUAAAUUCAAUUUAGCUAUAUCUAUUUACGAUUUUAGCCAUUUUCUUUCACAUCCUUUCAAACCUUUAAGAAACCAAUAUUGAGCCCUCUUCUCCCAAUUUUUCAGCAAAAUAAUGACCCAUUUCCAGCCGACCCAAUUCCUAAUAACAGACCCAGGCCCAAUUUUCAUUAUCCCAAUUCAUAUCCCAGCCCACUUCAGGCAAACCAUACAUCAGAAAAUACCCGGCCACCCCACCCCUGUACUCGCGUCUUCUUCCUCAAUACAACGAGCAAAACCCAGAAAAUGCGAGAAACAGUCCGCCGAAACCCAAAUCGAACCCAGACGCGACCCAGCAGCCCAUUAAAUCUAUCCAAUCGCGCGUGUCCUCGUCCACUCCUCUCGUUCUUAUCCGUUCGUACGAGAGUAUUCUCGAAUCUAUAGGUGUUUCCAUCUCAUGUGUUCUUCGUCCUUCCUUCAAAAUCGGACGGCUCCCUUCUUUAAUCCGUUGAGAAUGGUACGAAUUCCAGCUCCUCAACCUUAUCCUUUGAGAGCAAUUUGAAUUUCAAAUUCGAAAUCCCUCCCGAUUUCCCUCUAAAACAACCCUAAGUUUCUCCUAUAAAUUCAUCCUCCCUCUCCUUUGUUAAGGGUUAGAUUUUGGAAAAUUUAUUAAAGAAAUCAGUUUAGGCGAGAAUAAUGAUAUACGAAAUACACUAAGGAAACCAGAGGUGAAUAGGAGAUAACUAAUUCUAGUCCAAGUUCCAUUCUUCCAUUUUUGCCUGCCACAAGUUCGUUCGAGAUUCCAGCUGAAAUUUGGAAAUAAUCUUGACUUGCUCUUAGUUCAAAAUCAGUGGUGUUUCUUUGUUUUGUGUAUUUAAAUUUUCUGGUUCGUUUGGUUAGAAGUCUUGCUGACUCUAUGUAGUUCUGAGUUGUUCUUCUCUCUAUUUUCUUAUCGUUUCACUGAUAAUCUUGUUGGUUGGUUGUGGGUUAGUGUGAUUGUGAAUUUUCUGAAUCUAGAAUGCUAAUCCUCACAAUCCGUUAUGCGGUGGUUGUUUCAUUUCAUUUAGCUAGCGUGAAUCAUAUAGAUUGAGUAGUUUUACCUCUUCUUUCGUGGUGUUUGUUAUAGCCAUGUUUCAUUUUGAUAGUACGGUUCAUAUAUUAGCUAUUUACAGCUUUAAAAUCUUAUUCGUAAUAGUAUCAAUCGUAAUAGUGUCGAUUUAUCUUAAGUCCAUCUUAGUUCAACUAAGUUUUAAAAAAUGAAUUGGUAAAUUGUUGGAAUGUUAACUUGGGUCAGUGUGUUUUGUCCCAUUUUUUACUACUCUAAGUUGGUUUGAUUGUAUUCUUUUCCCCACACUUCCGUCGUGCAUCAUGAUAAGUUUUUUGAAGUUUCAAUUGAAUGUCUCCAUGUUUUUUUUUAAACCUCAUCAUAACGUUAUGUUUGUAAAAAAAAUAAAAAAAAAUGAAUUUUGGUUGUCCUAUAUUUUAGCAAAGCAGUAGCUUAGUUUUUGCUCUUAGUUAUGACUUGCGUGUUAGUAUUAAUCAAAGUCUGCUAUAUUUUUGCUCUUACGGUGUUGUUGGACCCAUGAAUUUGUUCUUGCUUUAUUUAUUUAUUUUAAACUUUUGUUCCAGUAAUAGUAUUAGAUAGAAGACAAUUCCAGUAGCUUGCUUUUAUCCAAAUUGAUAAUUGUUUUUCUUAUUCUUGUCCAACAAUUGUGCAUGCCGCCUUUUCCAUGUGAUCACUGCCCCUUUUUUUUAUUUUAUAUAUAUAUAUAUUUAUUUUAUUUAUUUAUCACCCUCAUUUAGUGUUAUCUUGUCAUGUGAGGUUAGAUUAAAUCUAAGUGAAGAUUCUUUUAAGUAUUGUGUGCAUUCCUUUGUCAUUCUUGUAUAACCGUGCUAUAGUAAACUAAGCGCAUGUAUUUAUGCCUUAUUUCUAUUUUAUGUGUCUUGGUUGCAUUAUAUAGAUUUAAAGUGUGCUUUAUUUUUAAUCUCUACCUUGUUUCAUUUUUUUCUAUGUAUGAACCGGCUCCACCCGAGUCCUUGGAGACUCUUUGAUCUUGUAUUUCGUUGGUUAGGGGCCCAAUUCUAUCUUCUAUCGAGUCAGCCAGCAGGAAAUGGAAGUAAAGGGGUUGGAAAUUGGAAUUUCAGAUUCCAAGAAGGCCCAAAAGAAAGGCUGAAUAUGCUUGUUGUAUAUAUGGGUAUACAAUACAAUAUACAGGCCCAAUAUGGUGAUAUGCAGGAGCUGAAAAUGCAUAAACAAGGCCCUAAAAUUUCAAGUGUAAAUGGGCCCAAGAAAGGGGCCCAAAAGAAAUUCCGGCAGCAGAAUCAUGAAUUAAAUAGGCCCAAACCAUUGUAUUGGGUUACUUUUAGAUUUAGGACAGGUUCAUGAAUUUGGAUCAAAGGCCCAAAUUUGAUAUUUCCUUCGUUUGCUCUUUAUUUGUUAUUGACCAACACUUUUGGUUUAACUUAAUUAAUUUCCCAAAAAUAGUCGUUUCUCUUUAUAUUCAAAAGUUAAAAUAUUUGUUUUACUUAUAAAUAUAUUUUAUUUAUUAUCUAGCUCUAUUUUAUCAUUAGUCUUGUCAACACUUAUGUUACUUCCCUUUAGAAUAAUCCCCUUUAGUAUAUUUCCCCUUAAAAAAUAAUUAAUUAGAAACAUAAUAGUAAUAAAUAAAUAAAUAAAAUAAAUGAGUUCUUUUAUUUAGUUAAAGUCAUUUUUGUCAAAUCGCCGAUCAACUGCAAGUUAGCGGACAUUCCGAGGGCCUAACACCUUUUCGAAAUAUACAUUGAACUCGAACCCUUUUUCAAUUGAUUUUAUCUGUUUGAGUCUUUUGAAAACUUUAAGUUUUUUCUUGAUUUUUACCAAAAAAAUUAAGUAACGACUCUGUUCUUUUGGAAUCGAUUUCUCUUAAAUCAUAAGUUUAAUCGAUUUUUCGAAACAAGUUAUUUUCCUUUUAUUUAUUUUUUUGAGUCAAACAGUCAUAACCUCUACAAAAUUAUAUUAAAUAUGGACUACAUUAGCCUCCACUAAUUUUUACUAUUAAACUUGCAGGCUCUUAACCUUCGUCAUUUUUUUAAAAAAAAUAUAGCGCCAGAAAUUGUUUUUUCCCUCAUUUUAUAAUCCUUUUCACUAGUUUUUUUAUACCAAAAAUACCCUUUUGACUUUGUAGUAGCCAAUUAUACUCGCUCAUUCUCUGGCUCUCUCAAAUCACUUCAGUGAAAAUCACAGCAAAUCACAAUUUCUUUCAUGAAUCUCAUCCGUCCUCAUCUUUCAUUUCUUAGGCUCUGUAGAAAUUAGUGACAUUGGUUAGCUGUAGAAAUUAAUUUUGAGUUUAAAUUUUCCUAUUAUGUUUUGCCAGAAAUUUUUUGACUUCUUCAAAUAUUGGAUACGAAUCUAUUGACGUAAGGUAUUCUUCUUUCUUAUUCUAAUUUACAUUUUCUUUCAUCUUGCAUGUGUGUUUUAAAUUUAUUUUCUCCUGUUACAUUUGAAUGUGUACGAAACAUUUGUUUUUCCUUCACUUAUUCUAGGGAUUCUCAUUUCUUCUUUAUGUAUGUGGCUGAUAUUAGUUUUUUCUCUUUUGUUUUGGUAUAUUGAUGAAUUUUGAAAGUACUUUUGAAUUGUGGUUUUGUAAUCCCAAAUUUUCUCAGCUAUUUGAGAUGUAGUUUCGAAUUGUGGUUGGUCGUUUUGGCCUAGCGUUUCUGCCUAGGUUUUUUUUGUGCUCGCUCUCCUUCGGCAAUGAGAAGUAGAGAUAGAAAAUGGAGGAUAGAGAGGAUGAGUGAAAAUUUUGAAUGUUGAAAAUGGAACAAACUGUUGAGUCAUGUUUCCUAGAUAUUUUGCAGCUUUUCAGCUCUAUUAGUUGUUAAAUGCUAUUGAACCAGUCGUUACUUGAUUUUCUUUUCGAUUUCCCAUUUAUGAACUUAAUGUGGUUGUUGUAUACGAGCCAAAUUUCUACAAGUUUCUAGGUUGUAGUUAACCACAUUACAUUCUGUCUCUCGUUCAGUUGUAUGGUGGUUCAUAUACUCGAGAAGAGAUAAAUGCUUUACUGGAUCUCUUGAGUUACUUGCUUAGAUUUUACCAUUCACUUUGUUCUGGUUGUAUAUUGAGUUAUUGGGAUUAAAUAACUGAUAUUGAGUCCAUAUUUGAGCUGUAUAUAUCAACUUAGUAUUGUGAAGCUCAUACUGUCACAUGUUACAUUGCAACCAACUUAGUGCUUUUUGCAUUUUUUUCAGUUUUCCUAUGAGAUGUUCAUGUAUGUGUGCUUUUAUACCUUAUUAUCCCAUAAUAUUAAUACAAGUAACUUUUCGCUUGUUGUUUUGUACCUGCGUAUAUCCUGUUUUUGCAAGCCGAAAGGGUCCUAAUUGAAAAUAAAUUACAUCUUUAUUUUUGUUUUGUAUUUUAGUUUAGAAUAUUCUGUUUUAGAGUUUAAUAAUUUCUAGAAAGGACUGGUAGAAGUGUAUAUUCAGGUAAAUUUAGGAAAAUCUGCUUGUCAUGACCCUGUAGCUUAGUGGCUAUUUUAUCUUCAUAUCAAAACAUCUUUCUGUUCAUAAGGCUGUGAGAGUAGAGAUGAUGAAAUUGAGUAAAGGAAUUUUUGCCCCACUUAAACUUUUAGACGUCCUUAUUCUUGCUACUUAUGUAAGAAGCCAUAUAUGCAAUAGACAACCUAACUGGGGUAGAUAUAAAUAAAGAUACUAAAACGGAAAAUGAUCAAAAUGCCUUUAAACUAUGUGAAAUUGAACAAAAAUGUGCCAUUAAGACAUUUCUACCUAUUAAGAUUCAAUUGGACUGUCACUUGUGGUAUCACCCUUAUGAGAUGUUGAAGACCUGUCAACCGAAAACUCUAAGAAGGCCUCAUCAACAAAGUACAAAGCUAUUUAAACUUUUAAUUAGAAUGUAAGACUUUUAUAUUUCUUAUAGGUAUGUCUGUAACAUUUGAAUAGUACAGAAGGAUAUCUGAAUUAUUUUUCAUCUUCAGGAAUUUGAAAAUUUUGCCUUUAAUUUUUAUUUUACAACUCAAUAAAUUUUUCGAUAGUAUUAGUUUGAUUAUCUCUAAACAGUUUAUACCAUUCACAUUGGGUACACGUGCAACGAGUCUCUCCAGAUCGAGACUACUAAUUGGACUAAAAUUCAAUAGUUAUAGGGAAUAGAGGUCGUUCAUUGAUGUCAAUUCCAAACACUGAAAUUACAAUGAAAGGAAAUUAAUUAGCACGGUGAUAGAACGUCCGUGAAAGAACUAAGAUCUCCAUAUCAAUGCAUCAGAUAUGAAGUUUUAUUCUCAAGCCUUGCACCUAUUCCCCUUGUUUACAUCCCUACUUUAUUCAAAUAGGGCAAAACGUCGUGGUGAUUCAAAAAAUAAACAAUUGAAUCAAUUUUAAAAGAAUUUCAAGAAUAAACGAAUUUUAAAAGAAUCGCCACCUAAUUUAGGAAAACUAGGAAACCAAUUAAAUGAUCUAUGAAACCAAGAGAUUUUAGGUAAGGGGUUCAAAUUAUUCCGAAAGAAAGGUGUUAGGCUUCCUUCGAAAUACACAAUUGUGGGUCCCGACUGAAUUAUCUUUUCAAAUUGAGUAGGAGAUAAAAACAAAUAUACAAGUACAAUCAACAUGCAAUAUACACAAAUAAUAAAAUAAAAAUAAUAAUGUAAGAAUCGACCUAAGGUUUGCCUAACAUCAAUAUAUACAAAAUGAUGCAUGAAGUAUAUAAUUCGAAUAAUUUCAUUGGGAAGCAACUCCGGGUACUUGUAAAGACACUUUGUAAAAGUGUUAGUACUAAAUAAAUAUGAAUAAAAAUAAAUGAAUUAAAUAAUAACGUAAAAACAAAAAACCGUCUUAUUAACAUGGGAGGACUUGGAAAUCGACGGUAAUUAGUUGUCCUUAAUUGCUUGUCCAUUUUGACAAAUCAAGAAAGAAUAAAAUUUUUUUACCUAUUAUACCCUCAAUUAAUUACUUUGAAAAAGGUAGAACUUCUUGAAAAUCUUAAGUUUUAAUUCAUCCACUUCAUAAUUAAUAGGGGUAAAAUGAUAACUCAUCAUUUUAAUUAUUACUUUCUUAAUAGGUGUGUCAAUUCAAAAGUAGACAAGUAAUUAGGGAUAGAGAGAAUAACAUAUAAUGAAAGAGAAAAACUUAUGGCAUUUGCUCCAUGAAAGAUCAUUCAAUCGUCCAUAUCAAAGUACGUAAAGUUUUUCCUUUUAUUUUUCAGUGUGUAAUUGGUAACAGAGAUAGAUAAAAGGUGUAAGGAACUUGACUUACCUUGUCCUACACUUGAACUAAAAUUCAGUAAUUAUAGGAAAUUUAUUGAUGUCAAUUCCAAACACUAUGAUGGAAAUAUCAAAUUAACUAAGACUUGUAUGGAAGAACUGAGAUCCCCAUAUCAAUGCAUUAGAAGUGUCAAUUGACUGAAGUAAUUUUAUUCUCAGCUUUACACUUAUUCUUCUUAAUUAAUUAACAGCUCUUAGCUAUACUUGUUAGCAAUGCUCUCAAGUGUAGUAAAAAGUUGAAGGGGCUUAGACAUCAUGGUCAUGUGAUCAGAGCCUUGGAUCACUUCCACUUCACCUGGUGGAUUCUUUUCAAUCAUCCUCUUCUGAAUUUCCUUCUUCAGAAGGUUAUCAUCAGCAGCAACAAUGAAUACUCUCCUAACUGAUCCAUACCUUUUUCUCGAAAGAACUAUCUCCAUAGAAACAUCUUUCACACUGUACAAGUAUACUGGCCUUACUAGUGUAGUGGCCAGUGCCAAAUCCUAACACCAACAAGGAAAAAAAAAGACUUAAAUCAGUUUCAUGUCAAUGUUCCGGUUAAGUACUCAAGUAAGUCUAUAAUUUGGAGAAACUAGUUAAAAUCUCCUUAUUGGUGAUACCUACAAAUUAUUUUUUGCAAAGGAAGUCAUUAAUCACUUUAGGUCCAUUCACUUGACAAGAAUAACAGAACUUGGCUAUUUCAAUUAUAUAUUUGUAUUAUGCUUUGCUUACCUGAAUUGGGCUCUUAUCGUAAAGCUUAACUGCCAAGUAUUUGGGACCAUAACUCAAGGUUGUUGGAGGAUUAGUAGGUCCAUUAUCAUAAGCAACACGAUUAUCAAGUGAAGUUAAUACACCAGUUUCUGCCAAGAGCUGUAACAAAGUAUAUUUAGCUACAAAUAUAUAUGUGAAACUGUAACCAAACAUAACAUAUCAUCUCAUGGUUAAAGUUAAAAAAUGCAUAUGAAAAAUUGGUACCUCGGUGUAGAGGGUGGCCGUUGCAUUGAGAGUUAGACCAGGCAUUAGAGCAGUAACAAAUACAGCAACUGAAAUCUUUUCUGGAAAGCUUUCCAUGGCCUUAGAAAUGGCCAAACCACCAAAUUCAUGGCCUACAAGAACCACUUUUUCAUGUGCAGGAAGAGAAGACAUCAACUCCAUUAGAGGACUCAAGUAAUCGGAAAAAUGUGGGAUUUCAAGGGCCUGUUUCGGGUUGAUUCCUGAAGCACCCAAGUCAAGAGCUGUGACAUUAUGCCCUGAAGAUCUCAUCAAUGACACAAUCUUGUACCAGGACCAGGCUCCAUGGCAUGGUCUAUGAACUAGCACAAAGUGCUUCUUAGCUUUAGGGAUUGACAAGGUUGCAUUUGCAUAUGGCAACACAAGUAUUACAACUACUAGACUUGUUAAAAACUUGCUUUUCUCCAUAUAUUUUUUUUCCUUCUUUAGAAGAAUAGCCACAUAAUAUGAACCAUUACAAGGGUAGCUUUAUAAUCCGAGGAGUU